CCUACGGGAGGCAGCAGUGAGGAAUAUUGGUCAAUGGACGAGAGUCUGAACCAGCCAAGUAGCGUGAAGGAUGACUGCCCUAUGGGUUGUAAACUUCUUUUAUAUGGGAAUAAAAUGUUCCACGUGUGGGAUUUUGUAUGUACCCUAUGAAUAAGGAUCGGGUAAAUCCGUGCCAGCAGCCGCGGUAAUACGGAGGAUCCGAGCGUUAUCCGGAUUUUUUGGGUUUAAAGGGAGCGUAGGUGGAUUGUUAAGUCAGUUGUGAAAGUUUGCGGGUCAACCGUAAAAUUGCAGUUGAAACUGGCAGUCUUGAGUACAGUAGAGGUGGGCGGAAUGCGUGGUGUAGCGGUGAAAUGCUUAGAUAUCACGAAGAACUCCGAUUGCGAAGGCAGCUCACUGGACUGCAACUGACACUGAGGCUCGAAAGUGUGGGUAUCAAACAGGAUUAGAUACCCUUGUAGUC
rnacentral:rRNA from 1 species